GCUGGGCGCGGUGGCAUGUGCCUGUAGUCCCAGCUACUCGGGAGGCUGAGGUGGGAGGAUCGCUUGAGCCCAGGAGUUCUAGGCUGUAGUGCUCUAUGCUGAUCGGGUGUCCACACUAAGUUCGGCAUCAAUAUGGUGACCUCCCAGGAUCGGGGGUCCACCAGAUUGCCCAAGGAGGGGUGAACCCGCCCAGGUCAGAAACGGAGCAGGUCAAAACUCCCGUGCUGAUCAGUAGUGGAAUUGUGCCUAUGAAUACCCACUGCACUCCAGCCUGGGCAACAUAGGGAGACCUUGUCACU
rnacentral:SRP_RNA from 1 species